rnacentral:rRNA from 1 species
UCGGGAAUUUUGGGCAAUGGGCGAAAGCCUGACCCAGCAACGCCGCGUGAAGGAUGAAGUAUUUCGGUAUGUAAACUUCGAAAGAAUAGGAAGAAUAAAUGACGGUACUAUUUAUAAGGUCCGGCUAACUACGUGCCAGCAGCCGCGGUAAUACGUAGGGACCAAGCGUUGUUCGGAUUUACUGGGCGUAAAGGGCGCGUAGGUGGCAUGACAAGUCACUUGUGAAAUCUCUGGGCUUAACCCAGAACGGCCAAGUGAUACUGUCGCGCUAGAGUGCAGAAGGGGCAAUCGGAAUUCUUGGUGUAGCGGUGAAAUGCGUAGAUAUCAAGAGGAACACCUGAGGUGAAGACGGGUUGCUGGGCUGACACUGACGCUGAGGCGCGAAAGCCAGGGGAGCAAACGGGAUUAGAUACCCAAGUAGUCCCUGAGCGGGCUGGCAAGGCGCAU